UAAAAAAAGGUAAGCUACUAAGAGCGAAUGGUGGAUGCCUUGACUGGUAAAGGCGAUGAAGGACGUACUAGACUGCGAUAAGCUACGGGGAGCUGUCAAGAAGCUUUGAUCCGUAGAUUUCCGAAUGGGGCAACCCAAUGUAUAGAGAUAUACAUUACCUAUAUAGGAGCGAACGAGGGGAAUUGAAACAUCUUAGUACCCUCAGGAAAAGAAAUCAAUAGAGAUUGCGUCAGUAGCGGCGAGCGAAAGCGCAAGAGGGCAAACCCAGUGCUUGCACUGGGGGUUGUAGGACUGCAAUGUGCAAGAGGUAAGUUUAGCAGAACAUUCUGGAAAGUAUAGCCAUAGAGGGUGAUAGUCCCGUAUGCGAAAAACAAACCUUAGCUAGCAGUAUCCUGAGUAGGGCGGGACACGAGGAAUCCUGUCUGAAUCUGGGUCGACCACGAUCCAACCCUAAAUACUAAUACCAGAUCGAUAGUGUACAAGUACCGUGAGGGAAAGGUGAAAAGAACUGAGGUGAUCAGAGUGAAAUAGAACCUGAAACCAUUUGCUUACAAUCAUUCAGAGCCCUAUGUAGCAAUACAGGGUGAUGGACUGCCUUUUGCAUAAUGAGCCUGCGAGUUGUGGUGUCUGGCAAGGUUAAGCAAACGCGAAGCCGUAGCGAAAGCGAGUCUGAAUAGGGCGCUUAGUCAGAUGCUGCAGACCCGAAACGAAGUGAUCUAUCCAUGAGCAAGUUGAAGCUAGUGUAAGAACUAGUGGAGGACUGAACCCAUAGGCGUUGAAAAGCCCCGGGAUGACUUGUGGAUAGGGGUGAAAGGCCAAUCAAACUUCGUGAUAGCUGGUUCUCUCCGAAAUAUAUUUAGGUAUAGCGUUGUGUCGUAAUAUAAGGGGGUAGAGCACUGAAUGGGCUAGGGCAUACACCAAUGUACCAAACCCUAUCAAACUCCGAAUACCUUAUAUGUAAUCACAGCAGUCAGGCGGCGAGUGAUAAAAUCCGUCGUCAAGAGGGAAACAACCCAGACUACCAGCUAAGGUCCCUAAAUCUUACUUAAGUGGAAAACGAUGUGAAGUUACUUAAACAACCAGGAGGUUGGCUUAGAAGCAGCCAUCCUUUAAAGAAAGCGUAAUAGCUCACUGGUCUAGUGAUUUUGCGCGGAAAAUAUAACGGGGCUAAAGUAAGUACCGAAGCUGUAGACUUGCACACAACUUAGAUUAUUUAAGUUUAGAAUAUAAAAAACUAAGUUAUAUGUUUUAAGUUAUAUUUUUACUGAUUUUUAUAGGGUAAAGAUAGAAAUAAAACUUAGUAAAAUCAGUAAAAAUAUUCUUAGGCUAAAGUUAAGUAGUUUAAGUUGUGUGCAAGUGGUAGGAGAGCGUUCUAUUUGCGUCGAAGGUAUACCGGU
rnacentral:rRNA from 1 species